rnacentral:lncRNA from 10 species
UGUGUGGGACCCCACUGAAAAUUGGACUGUUCAACUCACCUGGCAGCCACUCCCAAAGCCCCUGGAACUCUGGCCCAACGCUCUCUGACUGACUCCUUCCCAGAUCUUCUCGGCUUAGCGGCUGAAGACUGACACUGCCGGAUCACCUCGGAAGCCCCCUAGACCAUCAUGGACGCCGAGCUUCAGGUAACUCUCACAGUGGAAGGUGGUUUUCAUGGAGACAAAAGGUGGAGAAGGACAGUCCCGUGAAGUGGAUGCAACAGUUGAAGGUAACAGUAAGUCUUCAUCAAGAGCCAGACAUGCCUUAGAAUAACAGCAGGUGAAGAGAGAAAAAGUACAGGAAAACAAACAAGGAUGGAAGUAUGGUACAGGAGGGUGCACAGUGAAUAGAAGAAAAUGCUAUGGAAGACUACUCCUCACCGAGCAAAACCCGACUAGGUGGAACGUGGACUGAAGGUGGAGAUGAAUUCAAGAGUUUUACGGAGGGCACCUGUCACCUAAUCACAGCGCCAACGACGCUACCAAGAAAGCAUCAUGGCCUUUUCUUUUACAGG